AAAUCACAUGUAUCGUCAAUUAAGAAUCAAGCUCAAAGAAAAGUAUCCAAGUUCUUCUUUAAAGAAAUAAAAGUGAAUCAAGUCAAUUAAAAAAAGAACUAAAGAUGUAAAAGCUUUCCUGAUCUUCUGCUUAGUGUUUUUAUCUUGUAUUUGAUCAAUUGAAUAUAAAUAAAGCAAGAGUAAGUCUUACAGUACUAAGGAGAUACACAUACGCACUAAAACCAUUUGAAAAUCUUCACCUUUUUUCUCAAAACUUAUUAAAACCAAUCCCAACUGGUACUUAAACUGUCAAGAAGUAAUUCUAAUCAAUUAGGAAACCUAAACUUACUGUCUAAUUGAUUAGACCUUUCAUCUAAUUGAUUAACACAUAUUAGGGUUGUGGAACCUUGUUUUGCAGAUGAGACUUUUCUUGAACUUGCUUUUGAAGUUGUUCUUCUGGAAGCUUUCCUUUCUGCCUUUACCUUUUUGAGAUCUGGAUAUUCAGCAAUGGGAUUACCAGGCUUCUUGUAGUUGUAACAACCAUCCUGAUCUUUACUUCUAGAACUUGACCCUUUAAAGUCAUCUCUCUUACUAGAGAAUAUGUUCUUCUUCCCGGAUAAGUGUUUAAAUAUUUUUAUGAUAAAUGCUAAUUCACCAUCAUUAGAUUCUUCAUCAGAAGCUUCAUCAUGAGUGACUUCUUUGAUAUUUUUAGUUUGAGAGGAUUUCUCUGAUCUUCCAAAAAAAUUUAAAGCCACGAUUUUAACUUUCUCUUCAGGCUCAUCUCCAUUUAACUCAAUUUCAUGACUUUAAAUAUUUCUAACAAGACCUUCAAGACUUAAAGAGUUUAAAUAUUUAGCCUCUUGAAUGCCAUUUACUUUAGGUCUAUAUUUAACAGAAAGACUCUUAAGAAUAUUCUUGAUAUGGUCACAUUGGUAUAACUCUUGUUCAUGGCCUGAAGUCCAGACCCAAGAACCUAAAAUCUUGAGAACAUUGAUUCAAUGUUCUCAUCAUCUUUCAUUCUGAACAACUCAUAUUACUGAACUAGAAUAUUUGCUUUAGCUUCUUGAAUUUGUUGAUUACCUUUGUGAGCAAAUUCUUUACUUUGAAUAAGUUUUGAAUGAUAGAAAAUUGUGUGAUCACUGUCUAAUUGUUGGUUGUGCAUUAUUUUACAUGUUUCAUUUGUGUUUUUAGCCUAUACUAUUGUUUC
rnacentral:lncRNA from 1 species